rnacentral:rRNA from 1 species
GAUGAACGCUAGCUACAGGCUUAACACAUGCAAGUCGAGGGGAAACGGCAUUGAGUGCUUGCACUCUUUGGACGUCGACCGGCGCACGGGUGAGUAACGCGUAUCCAACCUUCCCAUUACUGUGGGAUAACCUGCCGAAAGGCAGACUAAUACCGCAUAGUCUUCGAUGACGGCAUCAGAUUUGAAGUAAAGAUUUAUCGGUAAUGGAUGGGGAUGCGUCUGAUUAGCUUGUUGGCGGGGUAACGGCCCACCAAGGCGACGAUCAGUAGGGGUUCUGAGAGGAAGGUCCCCCACAUUGGAACUGAGACACGGUCCAAACUCCUACGGGAGGCAGCAGUGAGGAAUAUUGAUCAAUGGACGGAAGUCUGAACCAGCCAAGUAGCGUGCAGGAUGACGGCCCUAUGGGUUGUAAACUGCUUUUGUAUGGGGAUAAAGUUAGGGACGUGUCCCUAUUUGCAGGUACCAUACGAAUAAGGACCGGCUAAGUCCGUG